AACGAACGUUAGCGGCGCGCCUAACACAUGCAAGUCGCACGAGAAAGGGCUUCGGCCCCGGUAAAGUGGCGCACGGGUGAGUAACACGUGGGUAAUCUGCCCUCGAGCAGGGGAUAACAUUCCGAAAGGAGUGCUAAUACCGUAUAAGACCACGACCUCGAAAGAGGAUGCGGUCAAAGCUGGCCUCUAUACAUAAGCUAGCACUUGAGGAUGAGCCCGCGGCGCAUCAGGUAGUUGGUGAGGUAAUGGCUCACCAAGCCUAAGACGCGUAGCUGGUCUGAGAGGAUGAUCCGCCACACUGGAACUGAGACACGGUCCAGACUCCUACGGGAGGCAGCAGUGGGGAAUCUUGCGCAAUAGGCGAAAGCCUGACGCAGCGACGCCGCGUGAGUGAUGAAGGCCUUCGGGUUGUAAAGCUCUGUGGGGAGAGACGAAUAAGUGCAGCCUAAUACGUUGCAUGAUGACGGUAUCUCCUUAGCAAGCACCGGCUAACUCUGUGCCAGCCGCCGCGGUAACAC
rnacentral:rRNA from 1 species